rnacentral:rRNA from 1 species
AUUGAACGCUGGCGGCAGGCCUAACACAUGCAAGUCGAGCGGAGCGGCGGAAGGGUGAGUAAUGCCUAGGAAUCUACCUGGUAGUGAGGGAGAAAGUCGGGAAACGGGCGAUAAUACAGCAUACUAUCAGAUCAGACUAGGGUGGAUUAGCUAGUUGGUGGGGUAAAGGCUUACCAAGGCGAAGAUCCAUAACUGGUCUGAGAGGAUGAUCAGUAACACUGGAACUGAGACACGGUCCAGAAUCCUACGGGAGGCAGCAGUGGGGAAUAUUGGGCAAUGGGCGAAAGCCUGAUCCAGCCAUGCCGCGUGUGUGAAGAAGGUCUUCGGAUUGUAAAGCACUUUAAGUUGGGAGGCGUUACCAACAGAAUAAGCACCGGCUAACUUCGUGCCAGCCGCCGCGGUAAUAC